rnacentral:rRNA from 1 species
CCUACGGGGGGCUGCAGUCGAGGAUCUUCGGCAAUGGGCGAAAGCCUGACCGAGCGACGCCGCGUGUGCGAUGAAGGCCUUCGGGUUGUAAAGCACUGUCGUGGGGGAGAAAGCCCGCAAGGGUUGAUCGACCUCAGGAGGAAGCUCGGGCUAAGUUCGUGCCAGCAGCCGCGGUAAGACGAACCGAGCAAACGUUAUUCGGAAUCACUGGGCUUAAAGGGCGCGUAGGCGGGCCAUCAAGUCAGGGGUGAAAGCCUCCAGCUCAACUGGAGAAG